UUGAGCUAUCUCUUCUUGGGCUGGACGAGCAUCUCCAAUUGUCCAUACGAGAACCAGCCAAUAGCCGUCUGCAUCCUUUUCUCCAUCGAUCGGACUACACUUCCUCUUCGCCAUUGAUCCCUGGGACCGAACCUCUCAUCCUCUCCCACCAUGAUCCCCAAGAGAAAUAACUAUACUAAAAACUGAUGGAAGCAUAUGAUGAAUUGGCUCAGGUUUCCUCCAGGAUCCAGCCCGGGUUGGAAUCUUCAAUCUUUUCCUCUUGAUCUCCUCACUCAACAAUAUUUGAAUCUCCAUUACAUUUCGAUCGUGUGUUGGAUGCUCUCCUCUGGAAGCGCGGCCGAGGCCCGAGCAACAGACCAAGCUGGAUGAACGAGCUUCAGCACGGGAAACAUUCAACCAGAGCUGAUAAUUGAUACAUGGAUUGCAUCUUCAACUAUACUGUUAGUUGCAGACCAAAGUCUGAGGUUGCAACAACGUUGCUCUGCCCUUCUUCAGCUGUGAACAGCAGUAGCAAUGUCGAUCUCGUCAGUUAAGACAGCAGUCAACAAUUGAGUAGUGACGGAAAGGAUCAAUCUGGAACCCACUCGUGGGAUCAUGAUGUGUUUGAGUUCUACUACUAAGAGUCAGUAGAGAGCAGCCGUCGAGGCCAGCCACUCGCCCACCCCACAGCCGGGAGCUCGUGGGCGUCCUCUCCAGACCCCAGUUUCCUCCGAUCCCUUCCAUCCGAGCAGCAGCACCUCCGACCUCUCGGUGCUGUUCCUGGGCGAGGCCGUUCCCGGGAGGACGACGCGGCGGCGACGGGAGCUUUAUUUACGAAUACUUUGCCGGCGGCGGCGGUGGAGCGCGCCGGGGCGACGAGGAGAAUCGGGGUGAGGGCGACGGAGGAUUUGGCCGUGAGGGAAUCGGUGAGGACGGCGCGGAAGAGUUACCUGGCUUUCCGGAGAAAAAAUAGUACCACAUCGCUAGCAGUUAGAUCGAUCCACUUGUUUAAAUACACGGCCAGGUCGCACAGGCACGUCUACGGCAUGUAGACAGUAGCAGAGAACAUGUAUGUAUGUACAAUGUAUGUAUUAAUAUAUAUGUACAGAUAAAUUAUAAAUUAUGAUGUAUGUACAUUAAAACAUGUACAUAAAAGGCGCUAGACA